UUGUCUGUUUUUGUGUAAGGGUAGAGAUCUUUUAUUUACGCUUUCUUUAUUUUCAGUUCAAGGACAACCUCCAAACUUUAAAACUAAAAUUGAAGAUAAAGUGUUGUUAGUUGGAGAAGACCUUUUCCUUGAAUGCACGGUAUCAGGGAGACCUACACCUCAUAUAUUGUGGUUAAAAGAUCAUGUGGUUGUGGCGUCUGGAGAAAGCAAAAUUCAGAACCUCAGUGACACCCAUGUCCUCUUAAAAAGAAACGUUGGUUUAGCUGAUACUGGAAAAUAUUUCUGCAUUGCUAAAAAUGAAGCCGGAGAAGCUUGCUGUUCCGCAUUUGUUGUUGUCACAGACGGCUAACACGUUCCGGAGCUGUCGCCAGAGGCCAGCACGAACCCGGACAUCACUACACCUGUGUCACGAUAAUAACUGUAUUAGCACCACGAGCACUGCAGCACGCACCCAGGACUGGUGACCGUAUUUGUAUCUUGUAUGUGUAACUGGACUGUGUUUAUUAUUUGGGACUGCAAACCCUUUAUUUUGAACAGUGCCAUACACAUUGCUGUGUAUUGCCUGGGAUUAUUGUUUGAGGUCACCAGACCUGGA